GUCUACGGCCAUAACACCCUGAAUGUACCCAAUCUCCUCUGAUCUCAGAAGCUAAGCAGGGUCAUGCCUGGUUAGUACUUGGACAGGAGAAAUGAUACUACUUGUUAUAAUUU
rnacentral:rRNA from 1 species